rnacentral:rRNA from 1 species
GGUUAAGUUAAUAAGGGCGCACGGUGGAUGCCUUGGCACUAGAAGCCGAUGAAGGACGUGACUAACGACGAAAUGCUUUGGGGAGUUGUAAGUAAACAUUGAUCCAGAGAUGUCCGAAUGGGGGAACCCGGCAUGUGAAGCAUGUCACUCAUUACUGUUAAGGUAAUGAAGAGGAAGACGCAGUGAACUGAAACAUCUAAGUAGCUGCAGGAAGAGAAAGCAAACGCGAUUGCCUUAGUAGCGGCGAGCGAAACGGCAAGAGGGCAAACCGAUGUGUUUACACAUCGGGGUUGUAGGACUGCGUUGUGGGACGCAAGAUUAUAGAAGAAUUACCUGGGAAGGUAAGCCAAAGAGAGUAAUAGCCUCGUAAUCGAAAUAAUCUUAAACCCUAGCAGUAUCCUGAGUACGGCGAGACACGAGAAAUCUCGUCGGAAUCCGGGAGGACCAUCUCCCAACCCUAAAUACUCUCUAGUGACCGAUAGUGAACCAGUACCGUGAGGGAAAGGUGAAAAGCACCCCGGGAGGGGAGUGAAAUAGAACCUGAAACCGUGUGCCUACAACAAGUUCGAGCCCGUUAAUGGGUGAGAGCGUGCCUUUUGUAGAAUGAACCGGCGAGUUACGAUAUGAUGCGAGGUUAAGUUGAAGAGACGGAGCCGUAGGGAAACCGAGUCUUAAUAGGGCGCUUUAGUAUCAUGUCGUAGACCCGAAACCAUGUGACCUACCCAUGAGCAGGGUGAAGGUGAGGUAAAACUCACUGGAGGCCCGAACCAGGGCACGUUGAAAAGUGCUUGGAUGACUUGUGGGUAGCGGAGAAAUUCCAAACGAACUUGGAGAUAGCUGGUUCUCUCCGAAAUAGCUUUAGGGCUAGCGUCGAUGUUAAGUCUCUUGGAGGUAGAGCACUGUUUGAUUGAGGGGUCCAUCCCGGUCCGUAGUCGAAAGGGAAACAGCCCAGACCACCAGCUAAGGUCCCAAAAUAUAUGUUAAGUGGAAAAGGAUGUGGGGUUGCACAGACAACUAGGAUGUUAGCUUAGAAGCAGCUAUUCAUUCAAAGAGUGCGUAAUAGCUCACUAGUCGAGUGACCCUGCGCCGAAAAUGUACCGGGGCUAAAACAUAUUACCGAAGCUGUGGAUACCUAUUAUAGGUAUGGUAGGAGAGCGUUCUAUGUGUGAAGAAGGUGUACCGUGAGGAGCGCUGGAACGCAUAGAAGUGAGAAUGCCGGUAUGAGUAGCGAAAGACAGGUGAGAAUCCUGUCCACCGUAAGACUAAGGUUUCCAGGGGAAGGCUCGUCCGCCCUGGGUUAGUCGGGACCUAAGGAGAGACCGAAAGGUGUAUCCGAUGGCCAACAGGUUGAUAUUCCUGUACUAGAGUAUAUAGUGAAGGAGGGACGCAGUAGGCUAACUAAAGCGUGCGAUUGGAAGAGCACGUCUAAGCAGUGAGGUGUGAUAUGAGUCAAAUGCUUGUAUCUCUAACAUUGAGCUGUGAUGGGGAGCGAAGUUAAGUAGCGAAGUUAGUGAUGUCACACUGCCAAGAAAAGCUUCUAGCGUUAAUUAUACUCUACCCGUACCGCAAACCGACACAGGUAGUCGAGGCGAGUAGCCUCAGGUGAGCGAGAGAACUCUCGUUAAGGAACUCGGCAAAAUGGCCCCGUAACUUCGGGAGAAGGGGCGCUGGCUUUAAGUCAGCCGCAGUGAAUAGGCCCAAGCAACUGUUUAUCAAAAACACAGCUCUCUGCUAAAUCGUAAGAUGAUGUAUAGGGGGUGACGCCUGCCCGGUGCUGGAAGGUUAAGAGGAGCGCUUAGCGUAAGCGAAGGUGUGAAUUGAAGCCCCAGUAAACGGCGGCCGUAACUAUAACGGUCCUAAGGUAGCGAAAUUCCUUGUCGGGUAAGUUCCGACCCGCACGAAAGGCGUAAUGAUUUGGGCACUGUCUCAACGAGAGACUCGGUGAAAUUUUAGUACCUGUGAAGAUGCAGGUUACCCGCGACAGGACGGAAAGACCCCAUGGAGCUUUAC